AUACGGAGGAUCCGAGCGUUAUCCGGAUUUAUUGGGUUUAAAGGGUGCGCAGGCGGGAGAUUAAGUCGGCGGUGAAAUUUUGCAGCUCAACUGUAAAAGUGCCUUCGAAACUGGUUUCCUUGAGUGUAGAUGAAGUAGGCGGAAUUUGUGGGGUAGCGGUGAAAUGCAUAGAUAUCACGAGGAACUCCGAUUGCGCAGGCAGCUUACUAAACUACUACUGACGCUCAGGCACGAAGGCGUGGGGAUCAAACAGGAUUAGAUACCCUGGUAGUCCACGCAGUAAACGAUGAUUACUAGCUGUUUGCGAUACAAUGUAAGCGGCUGAGCGAAAGCGUUAAGUAAUCCACCUGGGGAGUACGUUCGCAAGAAUGAAACUCAAAUGAAUUGACGGGG
rnacentral:rRNA from 1 species